rnacentral:lncRNA from 1 species
GCAAGCACUUUUUCUUCACAGGAAAAAUUAACCAUUAUGACAUAUUAUAUCUCGAUCAUAUAGUAAUUGGGCAAAAGAAUCAACAGGAAGAUAUCCACACAUAUGAAACAUAGAAUCUAACAACAGAAAAAUUACAGCAUAAGAUUAACGACUGAAACAGGCAUAACACAAACCAGAUACAGACUAUUUCACGAAAAGAAGAGGAUGUGAGAAGCCAGUUGCAUGUAUAUUAUCUUACAGCAGGGAGGGUAUCUAACUGGCUUCUCUGAGCCUCUUGAUCAGGGUAUCCAGAGAUUUCUUCUUUGGGUUCUGCCUGGCACCCCUUGUCCCAAAUGUUGAGAAGUAACUCUCUGAGGUAUCUCUAAACUUCUCUGAGAUGAUUGCAACCUUUCUAUAAUCUAGCUUGUUAUAGUUCUUUUCACGAAUCACUGGAUUUAGGAAAUUCUCUGGACUAUUGCUCAAAAGAAGAUUCACUAGCUGCCUUGCUUCCACUAGUGCAGCCUUCAUUUCAUUUUUUGCAGAUUC